CUAAAAUCCGACCGAUCCGGCAAAACCAACCAGCCGAAAAAAACUAGCGACCCACCUCCUUACCUUAUCCGAACUCCUCUGCAGGUCCACGCACCUACUUCACCUUCUUCCCAAUCGACGGCAACCCGGCUGAACUCCCGCUUCGGCUUCUUCCCGCCGGAGGCAGCUACUCCCCGGCGCGGCUCUCAAACUCCUGCCCCGGCUUCUUCCCGUCGGCGAACUCCGUGGCGCGGCUCCCAGAUUCCCGCCAUGGCUUCUCCGCGUGCGGUGGCCGCGCGGCACAGGUCCCGAACUCCUGCUCCGGCUUCAUCUGCAUCGGCGGCGGCCAUGUACUCGCAGGAGCUCACUCAAUUUGCCCAGUAUCGCCGUGCGACCGGAGCUCCUGAUCUCCGCUACACGCACGCGUCCAUGGCAUUCACCACGCACUGCGCUCCUACUGCCGUUUCAUCUCAGUGUCGUGACAAGGCUCCUGUGCCACUCCUCCGCUUCAUCCUGGACCGCGCCACCAGCGCCUUCGCGGGAGUUCACCGGUUUGUAUAUAUUUGAUAACUCGCCGCUGCAAUUCCUGUGUUUGCCGGUUCGUUCGCUCUCGCUAAUGAAUUCUCACCUAUAGCAUAUGCCCUCUACAUAUUUGUUGUUAUGCCUAAGAGAGAUUAAAUUAAACACUCUCCGAUGUUUGAUCUUUUUUGUUGUGGAGUUCACUUCAACCUACGAAGGAAAUCCAUUUAUUUUGGUCAGAGAAGUUUUAUUAGUUCAUACAGUAAGUUUGCAUAUUUCUGUUGGCACCACCUCAGUCUAGGUAAGUUCAUCUCCCCCCUCCUUUUUCGUGCAGGAAGUUGAGCAGCCUCUACACUGAUUGAUGCUAUGGAAAACUAAUUCUGCACUACUACAUGGAUAUAACUGAACCACAACGUGAGUAGCUUGCUAGCGCUGGAGAAUCUGCAGUUUAGAAACAGUGCGGCAGUUCAGAGAGUUAAUGUUCAGAGAACUUAUUUUUACAGGGAAGAUCAAUAAGUCCAUGAUUAAAGAUAGAAUAUGGUGUUUAAUAAGUUCAGUUCUAAUAAUCCGUGAAGCUCACUUCUCCAAAUCUGUGAAGCUCACUUCUCUUAAUUUGUGAAGUUCACAUCAACUGCUAUUUUCAUUUUAUAUAUUCCUGCUAGAUAGAAUAUUUGUGAAGUUUGUGGCUGCGGGAUGGAUGAUCCGGUAAUACUCCAUGGGGAUUUCAACGCUGAAACUUAAGGUAAUUAUCUAGUAAACUAUGCAUAUGCAUUCAAGAUUCCAUUCCUGUUCCCUAUUAUUAUGCUGUUAUACUCAUUCUUAACACUAAGAAACAUCUAUAUUUUGCCCAUAGCAGUUUGUACAAAUUAAUAUCAGAGCAAAAAGGUAGAACAAAUUGACAUUUUUUCUGCAACUAAUUGAGGAGUACUAAUCUCAAAAGUAGCUGAAACCUACAAAGCUUCACAACCCUGCACUUGAGUUUGUGAUUUUUAUGCUAAUAAGAUCUGUGGAAUUUCUGUUUUGAAGUUCACAUUACUUGAUUGACUCCCGGCGCUGGUCAAUAUGAAAUAUCGUUGCUAUUUUGGUUUUCUUAUGCACAUAUAGUUCUAGGAGUGAAUUGAGUUUCUUCUGCACAUAAUAGUUGUACUGUGCACAUAAUAGCUCCGUGUUAGCCGGCGAACAUUUCCAUCUCAGGUCCGUUUACUCUUGUAUGUGAGUUCAUUUUCUGGGCAAGUUCAUUUUAUUACUGAAGUUCACUUUCUCUCUCUAUUGAAGUAAGGCUUUAUAUUGUCAUGAAGUUCAGUUUAUCCGCGUAUAAGUUGAAGGUUUAUUGACCACCGGUAUUUGUAUUAACUCUAUUGAAAAUACUUCGAAAUAGCCAUUUGCAUGAUUAUUUAAAGUAGUUCACUAAUUUGACAUAGACAGUUCACUCGGCAAAAAAGGUCGCACUUUAUUCGAUGUGAAUGGUAGUGUUGAUUUGCCUCGCAGUUACUUUCAGUUGGGUGUUGUUGCAUCCUGUUAAUUCUUCCGUAGAUUGUAUGGUUGAGGUCCAUUGGCCUCCGGCAAUAUCCCAAAAUGAAGUACACACUGUAGCAACAGUUUACCAAAGGGCAUGGUGGGAUUCAAGUAGAGGUAAAGCAGCUAUUUUAAUUUCCUUGACUUUAUUUUUGUGAACUGCACCUCUAUCGGCAAGCCCAUGAUGGAUGAAAAAACAUGUUUGGUGAAAAUUUGAUGACCGUAGUAGUUCAUUCAAUUUGUCAACCAACAUAAGUUAAACUUUAUUCACCCUGCCACCCCUUCAUCUUACCUGGGAGUUCACAUUCCUGUUAAAUAAAUAUAGAAGACAAAAACUUGUUAGUUUUAGGAAGUUCAUUUGUUUGGUUUAGAAAGUGCAUUUGUUCGAUUUUUCGUAAUGAGUUUGGUUCUUCCGCCAUUUGAAUUUCUCUUUAGUAGAGCUGCAGUUCUUUUCAGUAGCUCCAGUUCUCUUCACUAGGUGCAGUUCUAUUCAUCGGUUCAGCAAGCGGCUACUUGGCUUGCUCUAUGAGCUUUAGUGCAUGUAGGUAAGUAUAUGUCUAAGUUUAGACACCACCUGCAGCCACGAUAAGAGCACUACAUGAGCAGAUCAGCUACAUUCCGGGAAUUCAAUGGCAUGUGUUGUUGCACUAAUAUAGAAAUAGUCCACUCAACAUUAAUGCCUAGUAGGUAAAGAAUUGAACUAUAGUACCGAAUAUAUAGUGGGGACAGAAUUAAAUCAUCUAAACUGAAUGCUUUCUGCAGGUUCCGAUAUUCUACAUAAUGACCAAGCACAAUAUUCAACUUCUUUUUGAGACCUGACCUGCAGUGUUUCCUCUUCUCCUCCUAUCAAAGAUGAAUAUCUAAUCUAAGGUCGAAGGAGAAAGUUCAUGUUCCUGUAAAAAACGAGAGAGGAAAAUGUCACCUGUACAAUUAAUUUAUUUUAGGCAGUUGGUGCAUUUGCUUAUUACAGCCAAGUUCAUUCGGCAAAAAGAACAUGGAAUGGUGCUCCGGUAUUACUCUCCGGGGAUUUCAACACUACACUUAAGGCAAAAGUUCAAGUUUGCGCAAUACUCGAGCGGCCGCAGGAUGCCAACUAGGUUCUCUCAUGAGCAUCGUUGGGACGACGAGCUUGGGAUGAGUGAAGUUCACUUCUAUUCCUCAUAGUUCACUAUGAAAAAGGGAUCUUUGACUGAAUCCACACAUGGAACAACACUUGGAGCUCACUUAAGAUGGCAUUUGGGCUUCCUUUGAAGCCAUGGUCCUAAGCUUCUCCAAACCCCCUCGGUGCCUGCCUGGCCUACAUUCUGUUCGCUGCCUCAUUGAGCGCGCCUUCCACCCACGGGAGUUCACAAAGCCAAGCGUGGGCGUCCACUAGCACCAACGCUUCCGGGUUGAUACGAGCACCUCACCAACAGCAUGGCUGCCAUCCCAAGCUCUUGGCCUUACACAAUGGACGGCCCCUAGACAAACUUGAGUCCAGUCUCACUACACGGCAGCAGGCCCCCAGCAGUGUACGAACGAUGAUGUAGCACACCGCAGACUCGAUUUUUACAACUGCCUGACAAUCUCAUAUGCGCACAGCUAGCACCUGAUGUUAAUUGAAUAUCCCCACAUGAAGUUAGCUUAUUUUUGUUUUGGAAGUUUGCUGUGUCUACUGAUUCUUUUUAUUCUGUGAUGCUUCUAGCUAUUUGUUUCAAAGAAUUAUUAUGUGCAAUUCCUAUUUAUUUGUUAGGAAGUUCGGUUUGUAUGUACGUGAGGUUCCCUUAUUGUUAAGAUUUUUGUUGAAUUUGUUUCUGGAAGCUCA